rnacentral:rRNA from 1 species
ACGGGUGAGUAACACGUGAGUAACCUGCCCCCUUCUUUGGGAUAACGCCCGGAAACGGGUGCUAAUACUGGAUAUUCACUGGCCUUCGCAUGGGGGUUGGUGGAAAGGUUUUUUCUGGUGGGGGAUGGGCUCGCGGCCUAUCAGCUUGUUGGUGGGGUGAUGGCCUACCAAGGCUUUGACGGGUAGCCGGCCUGAGAGGGUGACCGGUCACAUUGGGACUGAGAUACGGCCCAGACUCCUACGGGAGGCAGCAGUGGGGAAUAUUGCACAAUGGGCGAAAGCCUGAUGCAGCGACGCCGCGUGAGGGAUGACGGCCUUCGGGUUGUAAACCUCUUUCGCUCAUGGUCAAGCCGCAGCUUUGGGUUGUGGUGAGGGUAGUGGGUAAAGAAGCGCCGGCUAACUACGUGCCAGCAGCCGCGGUAAUACGUAGGGCGCGAGCGUUGUCCGGAAUUAUUGGGCGUAAAGGGCUUGUAGGCGGUUGGUCGCGUCUGCCGUGAAAUCCUCUGGCUUAACUGGGGGCGUGCGGUGGGUACGGGCUGACUUGAGUGCGGUAGGGGAGACUGGAACUCCUGGUGUAGCGGUGGAAUGCGCAGAUAUCAGGAAGAACACC